AAGUAGAACGCUGAAGGAGGAGCUUGCUUCUCCNGGAUGAGUUGCGAACGGGUGAGUAACGCGUAGGUAACCUGCCUGGUAGCGGGGGAUAACUAUUGGAAACGAUAGCUAAUACCGCAUAACAGUAGAUAUUGCAUGAUAUCUGCUUGAAAGGUGCAAUUGCAUCACUACCAGAUGGACCUGCGUUGUAUUAGCUAGUUGGUGGGGUAACGGCUCACCAAGGCGACGAUACAUAGCCGACCUGAGAGGGUGAUCGGCCACACUGGGACUGAGACACGGCCCAGACUCCUACGGGAGGCAGCAGUAGGGAAUCUUCGGCAAUGGACGAAAGUCUGACCGAGCAACGCCGCGUGAGUGAAGAAGGUUUUCGGAUCGUAAAGCUCUGUUGUAAGAGAAGAACGAGUGUGAGAGUGGAAAGUUCACACUGUGACGGUAUCUUACCAGAAAGGGACGGCUAACUACGUGCCAGCAGCCGCGGUAAUACGUAGGUCCCGAGCGUUGUCCGGAUUUAUUGGGCGUAAAGCGAGCGCAGGCGGUUAGAUAAGUCUGAAGUUAAAGGCUGUGGCUUAACCAUAGUACGCUUUGGAA
rnacentral:rRNA from 1 species